AGGAUGAACGCUGGCGGCGUGCCUAAUACAUGCAAGUCGAACGAAGCCUUCGGGCUUAGUGGCGGACGGGUGAGUAACACGUUGGUACCUACCCCGAAGUGGGGAAUAACUGCCCGAAAGGGUGGCUAAUACCGCAUAAUACCGCAAGGUUAAAGCAGUAAUGCGCUUCGGGAGGGGCCUGCGUCCCAUUAGCUAGUUGGUGAGGUAAUUGCUCACCAAGGCGACGAUGGGUAGCUGGAUCGAGAGGUUGACCAGCCACACUGGGACUGAGAUACGGCCCAGACUCCUACGGGAGGCAGCAGUAAGGAAUCUUCACAAUGGACGAAAGUCUGAUGGAGCAACGCCGCGUGCAGGAUGACGGUCUUCGGAUUGUAAACUGCUUUUUAUAUGGGAAGAUUAUGACGGUACCAUAUGAAUAAGGACCGGCUAACUACGUGCCAGCAGCCGC
rnacentral:rRNA from 1 species